GCAGCGACGCCGCGUGAGGGACGAAGGCCUUCGGGUUGUAAACCUCUUUCAGCAGGGAAGAAGCGAAAGUGACGGUACCUGCAGAAGAAGCGCCGGCUAACUACGUGCCAGCAGCCGCGGUAAUACGUAGGGCGCAAGCGUUAUCCGGAAUUAUUGGGCGUAAAGAGCUCGUAGGCGGUUUGUCGCGUCUGCUGUGAAAGCCCGGGGCUCAACCCCGGGUCUGCAGUGGGUACGGGCAGACUAGAGUGCAGUAGGGGAGACUGGAAUUCCUGGUGUAGCGGUGAAAUGCGCAGAUAUCAGGAGGAACACCGAUGGCGAAGGCAGGUCUCUGGGCUGUAACUGACGCUGAGGAGCGAAAGCAUGGGGAGCGAACAGGAUUAGAUACCCUGGUAGUCCAUGCCGUAAACGUUGGGCACUAGGUGUGGGGGACAUUCCACGUUUUCCGCGCCGUAGCUAACGCAUUAAGUGCCCCGCCUGGGGA
rnacentral:rRNA from 1 species